CUGGAGGUAUCAGAAGUGCGAAUGCUGACAUAAGUAACGAUAAAGCGGGUGAAAAGCCCGCUCGCCGGAAGACCAAGGGUUCCUGUCCAACGUUAAUCGGGGCAGGGUGAGUCGACCCCUAAGGCGAGGCCGAAAGGCGUAGUCGAUGGGAAACAGGUUAAUAUUCCUGUACUUGGUGUUACUGCGAAGGGGGGACGGAGAAGGCUAUGUUGGCCGGGCGACGGUUGUCCCGGUUUAAGCGUGUAGGCUGAUUUUCCAGGCAAAUCCGGAAAAUCAAGGCUGAGGCGUGAUGACGAGGCACUACGGUGCUGAAGCAACAAAUGCCCUGCUUCCAGGAAAAGCCUCUAAGCAUCAGGUAACAUCAAAUCGUACCCCAAACCGACACAGGUGGUCAGGUAGAGAAUACCAAGGCGCUUGAGAGAACUCGGGUGAAGGAACUAGGCAAAAUGGUGCCGUAACUUCGGGAGAAGGCACGCUGAUAUGUAGGUGAAGCGACUUGCUCGUGGAGCUGAAAUCAGUCGAAGAUACCAGCUGGCUGCAACUGUUUAUUAAAAACACAGCACUGUGCAAACACGAAAGUGGACGUAUACGGUGUGACGCCUGCCCGGUGC
rnacentral:rRNA from 1 species